CAAGUGUCGUUACCAAGAGGAUAUGGAGGAAGUCUUCUUUUUUCGCACAUAAGGAAAUCGAUGCAGAGGUCGCACUCGCUCUGCUCCUCUGUACGCACGCCCCAGCAAUACAAAGGUCUUCGGCUUCUCUGGAGUCGGACAGACAGAACUCUACCAUUUCUCUCCAGAUUUUUCGGACCGCUCUCCCUCUUCAUCGUCUCUCGCAGCGUUCGCAGAAGCCAGGAGCGGAACCCCUUCCUCUUCCGGCCUCUCCCAUUCGGACCUUCCCUCUCUCCCGCUCGGUCUCCCUCUCGCAUCCUAGCCGAAGCCGGUUAUUUCGCUACCUUGUUUCAUACGUUCGCUUGCCCUAGCUUCGUCUUCUCCGUGGAACCCUUCGUUUUUUUGGAAGACACAUGAAGCCAUUGUACCCUUUGCAAACGGUCUUCCCCGUUUCUUGAUCUCUAGUCUUUCGACUUCAAAGGAUCUGUACUCUUUUGCUUCAAAUAUAAGCCUGCCGUCGAGCUUGGGUUCAAUCACGUGAUCUUUUAUUUUGGAGAAAAAUCAGAUGGCUUUAGCAGUAGCAGCCUAGCAGGUGCAUGGACCUCUCUGUUUCCUGUAUUAAGAAAUUGAAGUCUGAAGCAGCACGGGCUGUCCAAGAGGCCUGAUGAAGUUUUCUAAGAGAUCCAGGAGACUGCCAUUUUGAUGCUUUAAGCCAUAACAGAGCUUCGAAGAAUGGGAAAGUCUUCUUGCGGGACCGAACGUGAGACGAGACCCCGAGCUUAUCUUCUUCCGCUCGCAAGCCGAAGCCUUUUUCUAUUCAGAAUCCCUACUCCAGAACUCGGAGACUCUCCCUCUCUCGGUCUCUCUCUCUCUGUUCGCGAAAGGCCAGGCGGAACGCCUUUCACUUCUUCAACAGCAGGGAAAUUCAUAGGUUGAAUUUGAGAGUGACGAAACCGUCAUAAAAGAGAACUAUUAGCUGAGGGAAGUCUUAAUGAAGAGGUAACUAAGGCUAAGAUCAACUCCAACCGAAUGAGAUACGCACGUAUGCCGUCCAUGAGCUGCUCCACCCAAAGGCCAAACGCGAUGCUAUAUUCACGAGCCGCAAAGAAAUUCGAGCAGGAGGAGGAGGCUUCGGAGUUCAGUUGGCUGAUUCGCGUAGGAGGCUUCGGAGUUGGGAGUUAGCACGACUGCUUGCGGUCGGAAAUCUAUUUGCUUGGGAGGGGAACGUCCUCCUGCGGCCUGUCGGACAUUGGAGUUUUGUCGCGAGUCGCAAGGGUGUCAGGAGAUUACGCGAUCCUCAUCGCGAACACGUCUUGGUAACCCUAUGAUGCAUUAUAAUAAAGGUAAAAGCACUGGACAAAAGCGUUUUUCAGUUCUUCUACAUGAGCUUCAAGCAAGUAAGUAGUGAGUACCUAUCCUAAUUUUAUAUGCGUUGCAUCCAUUAUCAUUAUUCAUAAGCUUCAAGCAUGUUCCAAGGCCAGAUGUGUGGAAGAAUUUUGGAAUCUGCAAGAAUUCUAUUAGAACUUAGUUUUAGGUUCCCAAAUGAUUUCUUGAAGGGAUUAGGGUUCUUUAAUUGUUUUUCAAUAAAAAAAACAGCAAGUGUGCUUACUAUCCUUGCUCCUAAUUGCUGAAAAAUAUCCAUUCUAGUAAUAUUUUUGGUUUUCUGAAUGGGACAACAUGUGCUGGAUGAUCUCAUAAAAAUUUGAUGUCUAUUGGAGAUAUUUCUUGUUUUUUAUGAAUUAGAAAAUCAAUUAGACAUGUUGAUUGUUUAUAAACCAAAUUGAAUUAAUUUUUUUAUGAUUCUAGGAUUUACAAGGAAUUUGUAGAAUUAUAUCUUGUAUUUUAAGUAUUUUAUUUGAAUUAGUUAUAAAAUUUAUAAAUUCUAUGAUAAUUCUGGAAACCUCAUUAACUUAGAAUUAGGGUUUGAAAAAAAUUCCAUCUAAUGAAAUUUAUAAAUUCUAUUCCAUCAUAAGAUCACUCUUAGUUAGCUAAAACGCUGCAAAUGCUAGAGCUAUCAGAGUAAUAAAAAAUAAAUAAUUAUAAAUAGAAUCAAAAUUUUAAAAUUAUUAAACAAUAAAUGAGUAUAUUAAUAUUUAAUAUGAAGAUAUAAAUGAAAUCAACACAUGAAAUCAAACCAUAAACUCAUUAUUCACCAAUAUAAUAGUUAUGAUCACUCUGUGAUAAUGCAAAAAUAUUAUGAAUAAUUCAUUUAUUAAUAAAUAAUGCUGACAGUCCAAUGCAUACAAAAGACUCAAAAAUGGCCAAAAGAAUGCACAAUAAGCAAAUUUUUUAUGUUAAGAAAACAUGUUAAUCAAUACUAAAUCAAUAGCAAUAAGUAUGCAAUGAGUAAUACAUCUAAUUAUAAGAAUAUUAUUUUAUUUUCAAUAUUUAUAAAUAAAGAACUAUGAACAAACAAUCAAACCAAAAUUAUUAAUCGCACAAAAAGAAAUGUAAAACUCAAAAUAUAAAAAUAGAAAGAUCAAACACAAAAGGCAAGUUCCAAUCAAGUAAAUUCCACAUACUUUUUUAGCAUUACACACUUGAGAUGGAAGAAAAAUACAUUUCCAACAAUACUAAAUCAACAAGCUAUUAGAACUUCCUAUGUUAGGCAUUUAAGAUGGAAGAAAGAAGCAUAUCCAACAAUACUAAAUCAACAAUAUACGAGAAAUUCCUAUGUUAAGUAUCUAAAAUGAAAGAAAACAUGUUUUCAACAAUAAAGAAUUAAGAACCAAAAACAAAAAUUAAAAACUAAGAACUAACUGCCAAAACAAAAUUGCAAAUAGUACAAAAAAUAAUAUAAACACAAACUAUAAAAAAAGAAGAAGAUAAAAAACAAAUGAUCUGUCACGAUCCGGCUCGGAUUUUCGAUUUAACGAAGCGGGAACUAAGUCGGACGAUAGGAUUAAAUCACUUCAAUUCAAAAGUAAAACAAUAUUUAAAACAUCAAUUUUACUCCUUUCUGCAUCUGAAGAGCCACUAAUACAUAAUUAUAAAUUACGUGUUGUCAUUUGCAUGCCGCCUUUUGUAGACAAAUUUUCUCUUUCAUCCAUUUUUAAAUCAGGGAAAACUUACCUGAAACAUUUAAAUUCAUUGUUUGAGUUUACUAAGUAAACUCAGUGGGUUACAAAAAUUAAUUGACAUGCAUAACGAAAUAUAUAUAUAUAUAAAUAUAUAUAUAACCUUUGAAAUAUGCC